rnacentral:pre_miRNA from 1 species
AUAAUACUCCCUCCGUCCGAAAUUACUUGUCAUCAAAAUGGAUGUGUCUAGAACUAAAAUACAUCUAGAUAUAUCCAUUUCGAUGACAAGUAUUUUCGGACGGAGGGAGUAGUAG